CUCAUGGUGCUGCAGAAAUUCAGAAAGCAUAAGGCACAAAGACAAGUGCUAAUUAUCUGACCUGAAUUUGCUGUGGUGGGCAGAAGAAAGACAAAUGCACUGCAGGCUGGCAGACAUUCCUCAUCGGCACAUAUCCAAAUUACUUCCUGGAAGUGAAUCACGGUCAUAUUAUUGUAAUUUUUUUUUGUUAGAGGUGGCACCAAGUAUCAAAGUGAGGGUCAUUCGUCUUGCACGGUGAAAGGCUCAGGCUCAUGCUCUUGAGGGUGCAGAGUUGUUUUCUGGGACUGUCUUUUGGUCAACCUGGCGGAAAUGAUGAUCAUGUUGAUGAUGAGGUCUCUUUCCCUGUCAUAUCAGUGCAGUCAUAGAAGAGCCCACAAUAAUCAGUAUUUAAACACAGGUCACUGUGGGCUUAAGCACCUAGUCUUAGGUGUCUGAGCUCCAGUCCUGCCUAGGCAGAUGGGCUUUGGAUCAUGCUGUGAAGGGUUCCCCUGGUAAUGACACUCAGGUGUGAGGGGGGCUUGGCUCCAUGUUGGGAGUACUUUGACAAAUGGGAGGCAGGGCAAGUCCCUCUGCAUCACUCCCUGCAGCAGACACUACUCUGGGCAUGGUUUUUCUAUACAGUCCAUCUGGUGACAUCUCAUUAGUCUGAGAGAGUGCAUCUGCCAAGCUGUGGUUGGGUAGCUUGGAGUUUAUGGCAAAGCAGGGCCAGGGAGGUGACACAUCACCUCGCAUUUGCUUCCCACCCUCCUUCCUUCACUCUCACUGCCCUGGUGAGUCGCCUUUCAGUAAGAUGUUGGCACACGCUCAAGCCUUGCCUCGACUGUUUUCUAAGAAGUCAAAGCUAACAUGAGACUUACUGUGCCAGGAAUUGGCAGAAGCAUUGGGGUGGUUGGGUCGACAUGAAAGGAAGGUCAUCGUCUCAAGAACUUGCCAUCUUACAGGGCUGACAAAGAACUUCCUUAAGGUAAAACAAACUGGUAAUUUAUAACAGGUGAUGCAAAGAGAUGGCUGAUCUCAAAUGGCUGAAGAGACAUGAAGAGUCAAAAGCGACUGGCAGCUUUCUAGUAUUUUGACAUCUGAUGUCAGCAGGCAAGGGGGUGAUGCCAUGAGGUGACAAGGGGAGCUGAGGAAUCCACUCCAGGCUCCUGAACUGGGUCCUACGAGGGUGGAGGCUGCUGUCUCAGUGUGGCCAUGACAAGAUCCCCAGGGCUAUCUCUUGCCUCAAAACGGCCUUGUAGGCAGAAUGUUUGAACUAUUCUCCGAGGCUAUUUGGAAAGCUAGGAUGAAACACUCUGUGUCCCUCGGAGCUCCUCCGGCAUGCACACUUGAUGUUCGGUAUUUAUCCAGCAUAAUGGUGGUCUCAUCAACCCUCACACUACUAGUUACCUUCAUGGCACCAUCUUUUGGAGACAGAGCCGCCAGGUAAAAGGAGUUACCUGUUGGAUGAAGCUUGAGGAUCAGAUGUCACCUCUGCCAGUUGUGAAUAGGACUCAGAUCACAGUGGCUUUUAUCUGUUGGCACAAGGAAGAUGUGCCCUCAUUGUCUAAGCUAGUGAGGCCAGCUCCUCAUCCAUAAAUGGAACCCCAGAAUAUUCUGGAGCCUUCUCCCCCACUCCCAUGCAUCACUCAACAUCAGCAUCCUCAGUUACAGAAGUUGGUUUACAAGGAUGUUGGAGAGACAACCUCCAGGAGACUCUCCAGUGAUGACAAAAACAUGGCACAGAGCGCAAGCCUGGGACUUCUUUUGAACUCUGCCUGGUUGUACCAUUUGGUGACGUUAACGGAGAGAUCUACUCUAUCCAGACGAGCGGAAACCCAGGCACUAGAGCUCUCAGAAGCAAUUCUUGCUUUACCAAUUAGCCUAACUUUGCAGACCCAACAAAUCAUGAGCUGAAAAUUAUGGCUGUUUCAUAAAUCGGUAACGUGCUCGGAAGAUGGGGGCCCAGCUGCAGAGCACAUGAGUUCAGGCUCCUGCCCCAGCCUCAUGUUUCACGAUGACCUCAGCUUCCUGUGUCAAUGGGAACCCAUGCGAGCUUUAUGGCACCUUUGAAGAAACAAAAGCUUUACAGAGAAAAGGCUGGUUUGGCAGAGGAGCCUGGCUUCCCCCCUUCAGCCCACUUUCCUGUGUUCCUGGAGCUUUUCUCUCUUUCAGCAAACAAAGCACUUCUAGGUGCUGUACGGAGGCUGCAUCUCCACUCGUCUCUCCUCUCUCCUUGCUUCUCUCCCCCAUCUCUUGGAUACUUCUGGAAAAACGAACAUUUUACGAAUGCCAUGUGUGCUGCUGGGUGCUUGGUCUCCCCCUUUUUCUCUGUCCCCCUCUUUCUCCCUGUCUCUCUCUCCCCCCCUCUCUAUCUCCUUCUCCAUCUCUCCCCCUCUCUCCCCACCUCUCUCUUCCCCCCUCCCUGUUUCUCCCUGAUGUAAUGUCUCUGAGUUUGUCUGGCUCCAGCUGUCCUCCUGUGAAACGGAAAGGAAGCAAGGGGGGCGGUCAGUUUGAGAAGACGAUCUUGACGUUAUUCAUAAGACCCCAUUUCGUUCCAGCAGCUUUGUCGAACCCACGAUAGGAUAGCGGGUCUUCAAUGGAUUCUCUCGCUUGGAGGAUCAAAUUUACAGUUUUCUCCUGGCUGUUCUUCAUGGGGAGACAUUUGAAAUCUGCAGGCAGACAGAGCCAACUGGGCAGAAAGUUUGGAAUUCUGAAAUGCUGCUGAAUUAAGUCAGGGAUCGGCUUAGCUAAUUUGCUGAUUUACUCAACUUGACCCAAAUGAAUUUCUGUGUAAACGAAAUUUAUGAAGAAGUCUCUGAAUAAUUCUAUUAAAUGAAAUGCCAGGCUUUUAUUUUCCAUUUUAUGACAUUUUCUGAACACUGUGUAUUCCAAUCAUAUUGAAACAUUUUGUUUUCAGGCUCUGUAGAAAGUGCUGAUGGUUGAACCUCAAAAGAAUUGAAGGGUUAGUUCAUAAAUGAAUAAAAAGCCAGCGGCAUUUAUCCAAAGUUUGUUUAACUAUCCUAACCUCAUGGGCCUGUAAAAAUUCAACUGAAAAUCAUUGAGAAGAGGUCCUCCCAUGAGAUCCCUUGGCACUUUCUGCUUCUGCUUGGAUCAGAAAUACAGUGAGAACCUCUCUCUCUUUCCUUUCCUUUCCUUUCCUUUCCUUUCCUUUCCUUUCCUUUCCUUUCCUU